UACGGUAGGGUGCAAGCGUUGUCCGGAAUUAUUGGGCGUAAAGAGCUUGUAGGCGGUUUGUCGCGUCUGCCUGUGAAAUUUCGGGGCUCAACCCCGAACUUGCAGUGGGUACGGGCAGGACUAGAGUGUGGUAGGGGAGACUGGAAUUCCUGGUGUAGCGGUAGAAAUGCGUAGAUAUCUGGAGGAACACCGGUGGCGAAG
rnacentral:rRNA from 1 species